rnacentral:rRNA from 1 species
CCUACGGGAUGCAGCCGUGGGGGAUAUUGCACAAUGGGGGAAACCCUGAUGCAGCAACGCCGCGUGAGUGAAGAAGUAUUUCGGUAUGUAAAGCUCUAUCAGCAUGGCAGAGAAUGACUGUACCUGACUAAGAAGCCCCGGCUAACUACUUACCAUCAUCCGCGGUAAUCCGUAGGGCGCGAACGUUAUCCGGAUUUACUGGGUGUAAAGGCAGCGUAGCCGGCUGGUAAUGUCUGAGGGGAAAGCCAGGGGCUUAACCCCGGAACGGCUUUGGAAACUGAGGAGCUAGAGUGCUGGAGAGGUAAGCGGAAUUCUUAGUGUAGCGGUGAAAUGCGUAGAGAUUAGGAGGAACACCAGUGGCGAAGGCGGCUGACUGGACAGUAACGGACGUUGAGGCUCGAAAGCGUGGGGAGCAAACAGGAUGAGAUACCCGGGUAGUC